rnacentral:rRNA from 1 species
UUAUCUCUGUAGAGUCUGCAUAUCAAUAAGCGGAGGAAAAGAAACUAACAAGGAUUCCCCUAGUAACGGCGAGUGAAGCGGGAGGAGCUCAAAUUUGAAAUCUUCAAGGUUCUACCUUGACGAAUUGUAGUUUAAAGAAGUGUUUUCGGUUAGAGGAGUAGUAAAAGUUCUUUGGAAUAGGACAUCAUAGAGGGUGAGAAUCCCGUAUUUGACUAUUCUUUCUAGCUUUGUGAUACACUUUCAAAGAGUCGGAUUGUUUGGGAAUGCAGUCCAAAAUGGGUGGUAAAUUUCAUCUAAAGCUAAAUAUUGGCGAGAGACCGAUAGCGAACAAGUACCGUGAGGGAAAGAUGAAAAGAACUUUGAAAAGAGAGUUAAACAGUACGUGAAAUUGUCAAAAGGGAAGCGUUUGACACCAGUGUUGUUUUUCCGAAAAUCAAUUAAAAAUUGAUUCAUGCCAGGUUGUAUUGACCUUAUCAGCUUGCAAUUUGGUUUUGGGUCUCUUUUUGAUGCACUUUUCGGUUAACAAGUCAACAUCAAUUUCCUUUGCUGUAAAAAGGUAAGAGGAAGGUGGCUUCAAUUUCGGUUGAAGUGUUUAUAGCCUUUUAUCUCUGCAGUCGGGGAGAUUGAGGUCUGCAGCGUAGAUCCUUCGGGGCUAGAUACAUUUAUGCUAAGUUAUAGCUUUUCAUAGACAACUUGUUGACUAUGUUUAGUCAUGUAGCUUACUCGUAAGUGCUAUUUUACCUACGCUUAGGAUGUUGAGCGCAUGUCUCUCUCU